rnacentral:rRNA from 1 species
GACGAACGCUGGCGGCGUGCCUAAUACAUGCAAGUAGAACGCUGAAGGAGGAGCUUGCUCUUCUGGAUGAGUUGCGAACGGGUGAGUAACGCGUAGGUAACCUGCCUGGUAGCGGGGGAUAACUAUUGGAAACGAUAGCUAAUACCGCAUAAGAGUAGAUGUUGCAUGACAUUUGCUUAAAAGGUGCAAUUGCAUCACUACCAGAUGGACCUGCGUUGUAUUAGCUAGUUGGUGAGGUAACGGCUCACCAAGGCAACGAUACAUAGCCGACCUGAGAGGGUGAUCGGCCACACUGGGACUGAGACACGGCCCAGACUCCUACGGGAGGCAGCAGUAGGGAAUCUUCGGCAAUGGACGGAAGUCUGACCGAGCAACGCCGCGUGAGUGAAGAAGGUUUUCGGAUCGUAAAGCUCUGUUGUAAGAGAAGAACGAGUGUGAGAGUGGAAAGUUCACACUGUGACGGUAUCUUACCAGAAAGGGACGGCUAACUACGUGCCAGCAGCCGCGGUAAUACGUAGGUCCCGAGCGUUGUCCGGAUUUAUUGGGCGUAAAGCGCGCGCAGGUGGUUUAAUAAGUCUGAUGUGAAAGCCCACGGCUCAACCGUGGAGGGUCAUUGGAAACUGUUAAACUUGAGUGCAGGAGAGAAAAGUGGAAUUCCUAGUGUAGCGGUGAAAUGCGUAGAGAUUAGGAGGAACACCAGUGGCGAAGGCGGCUUUUUGGCCUGUAACUGACACUGAGGCGCGAAAGCGUGGGGAGCGAAUAGG